AGUAAACUUCCGUGGUUUAAGCAGCCCAGCUUGUGGUACUUUGUCAUGGCAGCCCCAGGAAACCUCAGAGGCAGUGGAGUUUUCCAGACGCUUUAUGACGUGUGAUAUUGCAACAGACUGAAUGCAAAACAGAUAUGAGAAUUCAGCUGUUUCCAUUAAGCCAGACAGAAGACAUUUGCAAAUGUGCAAAACAAUGCCAUUCUUCUCAUGCAUUUUUUUUGUUUGGUAUAGUAACUUUUAUUUUUAAAAAUAUGUUAUUUCAGUUGACAUUAUUACUGCUAUUGGAAAUGAAUUAUAA
rnacentral:lncRNA from 1 species